UACAGAGGGUGCAAGCGUUAAUCGGAAUUACUGGGCGUAAAGCGCGCGUAGGUGGUUCGUUAAGUUGGAUGUGAAAUCCCCGGGCUCAACCUGGGAACUGCAUUCAAAACUGUCGAGCUAGAGUAUGGUAGAGGGUGGUGGAAUUUCCUGUGUAGCGGUGAAAUGCGUAGAUAUAGGAAGGAACACCAGUGGCGAAGGCGACCACCUGGACUGAUACUGACGCUCAUGCACGAAAGCGUGGGGAGCAAACAGG
rnacentral:rRNA from 1 species